UCCGAGUUGACCCCGGCAGUCUCUCAUGAGUCCCCACCAUCACGUGCUGGCAACAUAAGACAAGGGUUGCGCUCGUUGCGGGACUUAACCCAACAUCUCACGACACGAGCUGACGACAACCAUGCACCACCUGUACACCGGCCACAAGGGAAGGACCAUCUCUGGCCCGGUCCGGUGUAUGUCAAGCCCAGGUAAGGUUCUUCGCGUUGCAUCGAAUUAAUCCACAUGCUCCGCCGCUUGUGCGGGCCCCCGUCAAUUCCUUUGAGUUUUAGCCUUGCGGCCGUACUCCCCAGGCGGGGCGCUUAAUGCGUUAGCUACGGCACAGAAGACGUGGAAGUCCCCUACACCUAGCGCCCACCGUUUACGGCAUGGACUAC
rnacentral:misc_RNA from 1 species